rnacentral:tRNA from 1 species
GCACCCCUGGCGCAACGGUUAGCGUACCUGGCUUAUAUCCAGUUGGUUCCAGGUUCAAGUCCUGGGGGGUGUA